UGGGGAAUAUUGGACAAUGGGGGAAACCCUGAUCCAGCAAUGCCGCGUGAGUGAAGAAGGCCUUAGGGUUGUAAAGCUCUUUCGCCCGUGACGAUGAUGACGGUAACGGGAGAAGAAGCCCCGGCUAAUUCCGUGCCAGCAGCCGCGGUAAUACGGAAGGGGCUAGCGUUGUUCGGAUUUACUGGGCGUAAAGCGCAUGUAGGCGGCGGAUCAAGUGGGGCGUGAAAGGCCUGGGCUCAACCUGGGAACUGCGCUUCAGACUGGUUCGCUCGAGUUCGGGAGAGGGUGGUGGAAUUCCCAGUGUAGAGGUGAAAUUCGUAGAUAUUGGGAGGAACACCGGUGGCGAAGGCGGCCACCUGGCCCGAGACUGACGCUCAAGUGCGAAAGCGUGGGGAGCAAACAG
rnacentral:rRNA from 1 species